rnacentral:tRNA from 1 species
GCCGGGUUGGCCGUGCGGGCGGUGGCCUUGAGGGUCUUGGCAUCGACAUCGUUGGCGCCGGCAAUGAUCGCCAGGUUCUUCGCCUGGAUCUCGGCA